rnacentral:tRNA from 1 species
GGGGAUAUGGCGAAAUCGGUAUACGGACUUAAAAAAUCCGUCGACUUUAAAAAUCGUGAGGGUUCAAGUCCCUCUAUCCCCA